CAGAAUUUUAAGCAUAUUUAUUAUUGAAAGCAUUAAUAUUUUAUUUGACUGCUUUGUAACAGCCGGGAAGAAACUCACUCGGUGUUAUUUUAGGUUCCGGUAUGUGCUUGUACACCUGUUUGAAGUUCUGUCAGAGGCUUUUAAUUUGGUUUAUUUCGCCUUUCUCUCUCUCUGUCUCUCUCUGUGCUCAUCACCCCCGAGGUGUUGCGGAUACAUUUUCACCUGAGAAAACGGGCAGGUGACAGCAGACGUGAAAAGGUUGAACACCACGGCAGUCGGUUUUGCUCCACACAUUUUUACAUUCUCCAUCAUUGACUGACUGCCUCAGCUGUGGAGCAGAGCAUGAAGCCAGCUGACAGCAGUAACCAACUCUAUCAUCUCCACUAGAGGGAGGGCUAUCUCACAACAAGGCCACCAAGGAGCUGCAGCAGAGGAUUUUAUGCUGUAUACACUGGGAGAAAGUGCAGACGGCAGGCCUGUGACCUCUCCUGUCUGACACCGGUCACCUGCUGUCGUGUGUGUGGGCUGACCCAUAGCAGUGAAUGAUGGCUUCACCUCCCUCUGUGAC